rnacentral:rRNA from 1 species
CCUACGGGAGGCUGCAGUGGGGAAUAUUGCACAAUGGGCGCAAGCCUGAUGCAGCCAUGCCGCGUGUGUGAAGAAGGCCUUCGGGUUGUAAAGCACUUUCAGCGGGGAGGAAGGCGUUAAGGUUAAUAACCUUGGCGAUUGACGUUACCCGCAGAAGAAGCACCGGCUAACUCCGUGCCAGCAGCCGCGGUAAUACGGAGGGUGCAAGCGUUAAUCGGAAUUACUGGGCGUAAAGCGCACGCAGGCGGUCUGGCAAGUCGGAUGUGAAAUCCCCGGGCUCAACCUGGGAACUGCAUUCGAAACUGGCAGGCUAGAGUCUUGUAGAGGGGGGUAGAAUUCCAGGUGUAGCGGUGAAAUGCGUAGAGAUCCGGAGGAAUACCGGUGGCGAAGGCGGCCCCCUGGACAAAGACUGACGCUCAGGUGCGAAAGCGUGGGGAGCAAACAGGAUUAGAUACCCUAGUAGUC